rnacentral:rRNA from 1 species
UGAUCCAGCCAUGCCGCGUGCGGGAAGAAGGCCUUCGGGUUGUAAACCGCUUUUGUCGGGGAAGAAACUGCUCGACCUAAUACGUCGCGGUAAUGACGGUACCUGAAGAAUAAGCACCGGCUAACUACGUGCCAGCAGCCGCGGUAAUACGUUAGGGUGCAAGCGUUAAUCGGAAUUACUGGGCGUAAAGCGUGCGCAGGCGGUCAUGCAAGACAGAUGUGAAAUCCCCGAGCUCAACCUGGGAACUGCAUUUGUGACUGCAUGGCUUGAGUGCGGCAGAGGGGGAUGGAAUUCCGCGUGUAGCAGUGAAAUGCGUAGAUAUGCGGAGGAACACCGAUGGCGAAGGCAAUCCCCUGGGCCUGCACUGACGCUCAUGCACGAAAGCGUGGGGAGCAAACAGGAUUAGAUACCCUGGUAGUCCACGCCCUAAACGAUGUCAACUGGUUGUUGGAAGGGUUUCUCUUCAGUAACGAGGCUAACGCGUGAAGUUGACCGCCUGGGGA